rnacentral:rRNA from 1 species
GACGAACGCUGGCGGCGUGCCUAAUACAUGCAAGUCGAACGAACCGCGACUAAGUGCUUGCACUAAGUCAAGGUGAGUGGCGAACGGGUGAGUAACACGUGGGUAACCUACCUCAUAGUGGGGGAUAACAGUCGGAAACGACUGCUAAUACCGCAUAGGACAUAGGAUCACAUGAUCCAGUGAGGAAAGGUGGCGCAAGCUAUCGCUAAGAGAUGGACCCGCGGUGCAUUAGCUAGUUGGUAGGGUAAAGGCCUACCAAGGCGAUGAUGCAUAGCCGACCUGAGAGGGUGAUCGGCCACAUUGGGACUGAGACACGGCCCAAACUCCUACGGGAGGCAGCAGUAGGGAAUCUUCCGCAAUGGACGCAAGUCUGACGGAGCAACGCCGCGUGAGUGAAGAAGGUCUUCGGAUCGUAAAGCUCUGUUGUUAGAGAAGAACAGCGCAUAGAGUAACUGCUAUGCGUGGGACGGUAUCUAACCAGAAAGCCACGGCGAACUACGU